UACGAAGGGAGCUAGCGUUGUUCGGAAUUACUGGGCGUAAAGGGCGCGUAGGCGGUCUUAUAAGUUUGGUGUGAAAGCCCUGGGCUUAACCUAGGAAUAGCAUUGGAUACUGUAAGACUUGAGACCGAGAGAGGGAAAUGGAAUUGCGAGUGUAGAGGUGAAAUUCGUAGAUAUUCGCAAGAACACCAGUGGCGAAGGCGAUUUCCUGGCUCGGUACUGACGCUAAGGCGCGAAAGCGUGGGGAGCAAACAGGAUUAGAUACCCUGGUAGUCCACGCUGUAAACGAUGAAUGCUAGAUGUUGGGGAUUAACAUCCUCAGUGUCGCCGCUAACGCAAUAAGCAUUCCGCCUGGGGAGUACGGUCGCAAGAUUA
rnacentral:rRNA from 1 species